rnacentral:piRNA from 1 species
UCCCAGGAAAUGUACUUUCUGAGUACUAAGU